rnacentral:rRNA from 1 species
AACAGCUCAAAUUUGAAAUCUGGCCCCCUCGGGGUCCGAGUUGUAAUUUGCAGAGGGAGCUUUUGGCGUCGGUCGUGGUCUAAGUUCCUUGGAACAGGACGUCACAGAGGGUGAGAAUCCCGUACGUGGCCGCCGGCCUUCGCCUUGUAAAGCCCCUUCGACGAGUCGAGUUGUUUGGGAAUGCAGCUCUAAAUGGGAGGUAAAUUUCUUCUAAAGCUAAAUACCCGCCAGAGACCGAUAGCGCACAAGUAGAGUGAUCGAAAGAUGAAAAGCACUUUGGAAAGAGAGUGAAAAAGCACGUGAAAUUGUUGAAAGGGAAGCGCUUGCGGCCAGACUUGCCCGCGGUUGAUCAUCCAGGCUCCGGCCUGGUGCACUCCUCCGCGGGCAGGCCAGCAUCAGUUCGGGCGGUCGGAUAAAGGCCUCUAUCACGUACCACCCCCCGGGGUGGCCUUAUAGGGGAGGCGCAACACGGCCAGCCCGGACUGAGGUUCCGCGCAUCUGCUAGGAUGCUGGCGUAAUGGCAGCAAGCGGCCCGUCUUGAAACACGGACCAAGGAGUCUAACAUCUAUGCGAGUGUUUGGGUGUCAAGCCCGAGCGCGCAAUGAAAGUGAACGGAGGUGGGAACCCUUACCGGUGCACCAUCGACCGAUCCUGAUGUCUUCGGAUGGAUUUGAGUAAGAGCAUAGCUGUUGGGACCCGAAAGAUGGUGAACUAUGCCUGAAUAGGGUGAAGCCAGAGGAAACUCUGGUGGAGGCUCGCAGCGGUUCUGACGUGCAAAUCGAUCGUC